rnacentral:rRNA from 1 species
UACGUAGGGUGCAAGCGUUGUCCGGAAUUAUUGGGCGUAAAGAGCUCGUAGGCGGUCUGUCACGUCGGCUGUGAAAACUCGGGGCUCAACUCCGAGCCUGCAGUCGAUACGGGCAGACUAGAGUUCGGUAGGGGAGGCUGGAAUUCCUGGUGUAGCGGUGAAAUGCGCAGAUAUCAGGAGGAACACCGGUGGCGAAGGCGGGUCUCUGGGCCGAUACUGACGCUGAGGAGCGAAAGCGUGGGGGAGCAAACAGG